ACUCCUACGGGAGGCAGCAGUAGGAAUUUUCCGCAAUGGACGAAAGUCUGACGGAGCAAUGCCGCGUGAGUGAUGAAGGUUUUUCGAAUUGUAAAAGCUCUUGUUGUAAGGGAAGGAAUAGCCAAGAAUAGGGAAAUGAUUCUUGUCUGACGGUACCUUACCAGAAAGCCACGGCUAACUACGUGCCAGCAGCCGCGGUAAUACGUAGGUGGCAAGCGUUUAUCCGGAAUUAUUGGGCGUAAAGCGCAUGUAGGCGGCUUUUUAAGUCUGAUGUGAAAGCCAGUGGCUCAACCACUGAAUUGCAUUGGAUACUGGAAAGCUAGAAUCUUGGAGAGGUAAGUGGAAUUUCAUGUGUAGCGGUGGAAUGCGUAGAUAUAUGAAGGAACACCAAUGGCGAAGGCAGCUUACUGGACAAGUAUUGACGCUGAGAUGCGAAAGUGUGGUAGCAAACAGGGAUUAGAUACCCUGGUAGGCUCUG
rnacentral:rRNA from 1 species